rnacentral:tmRNA from 1 species
GGGGGCGAACUGGGUUCGACCGGGCAGUAAAACGGCAAGUGGCGUGUCGUGGUUGGUCAGCAGGCCACGUAAAAAGCCGACCACACAAUAACUGCCGAGGGUAACCUCGUCCUGGCUGCCUAGAGAUAGACAGCCCCGGCUGAGGGCUUUUGCCGAAGAGGCCCGACUGCUGGUCACCAAUUUCGGAUCGUUCCGGGUCAUCGCCGAGUACGCCCGGGACUAAACCCUGUUCUUGGCUAGCCUCGGAGGCAGCUCGUCGGAUGGCGGUCGCCGGGCGCGAAAUUCAAAGAUUCGACUACACACGUAGAAGCUUGCCCGGAUACGUCGCGGGACGCGGGUUCGAUUCCCGCCGCCUCCAUUU